rnacentral:lncRNA from 1 species
UAUUGAUGAGUUGGGCUAUUACUUGGUCUUAUCAGAAUUGCAUUAGGCCCGUUUGUGAGGCUCUUCCUUUCUCCGGACGGUGUUGUUCCCUCCAAAACCAACUGACGAAUCGGUUGCAGCGGGACCGGAGACGCUCUGCCGUCAGUCUAUAUAGCCUCCCUCGCCUCGCCUUUCUCCUCUCCCAUCCUUUCUCGUAGCUUCCUUCCAUCCACCCUCCCCCUCUCCUCUUCAUCUCGGGUGCGCCCGCGGUUCUUGCGGUUUGCGAAGCUGUUCGACCGAGAGGCGAGAUGGCGGACAAGGGGAAGCUCAGCGGCAACGACAUUAUCCGGGCAACUGAGCAGCCGCGUGCAGCGCGGAUGCAUACUAGAGCUGGCAGCGACAUUGCUGGGACUUCAGAUCAGUCUGCAGGGCUGACGGAGAUUGCAGCCAGGGGCGGCAUUGCCAGAACUUCGCAGCGGCUUGCAGUUGCAGCAGGGAUGACGGAUUUCCCCGGCGCCUCCUCCUCCCAGCUCGAUG